UACGAAGGGGGCUAGCGUUGCUCGGAAUCACUGGGCGUAAAGGGCGCGUAGGCGGUGCGGUAAGUCUGUAGUGAAAUCUCUGGGCUCAACUCAGAGUCUGCUGCAGAAACUGCCGUGCUUGAGUGUGGGAGAGGUGAGUGGAAUUCCCGGUGUAGCGGUGAAAUGCGUAGAUAUCGAGAGGAACACCUGCGGCGAAGGCGGGUUGCUGGGCUGACACUGACGCUGAGGCGCGAAAGCUAGGGGAGCGAACGGG
rnacentral:rRNA from 1 species